ensembl:lncRNA
AAACCUUCAUAGGUUGUUGUAAGGAUUAGAAACACUGUAUGUAGAUACCCAGCAUGGGAGUAGGCCUGUAAUACGACAUCUAUUCUUCAUUGGUUAGGACAUCAGACCUAGUAAAGGACGGGAGCUCCAAACAGGUGAGCCAAGGCAGAUGCUUGGUCUUAAGGGCUGAGAUGUCUUGGUCCGGGAGAGGUCAGGUAGGAAAGGCUGUGACCUGGAUACGUGGAAUGAAAAGCUCAUCCAUAGCAAACUGUAAACCUUGUCUACAGGCUGGAAGACCUGGGGUUGCUGAUAAGGCAUGGCUCAGAACGGGCCUUGGACUGAGGCCAGCCCCUAGACGGAUCAGAAGACAAAAAGAGCAACCAGAGAAGGCAGAAAAUCACCGUGAAGAUUUUCAUCUUCAGAAAAUCUGAGGAGAAAAAGAAGGACUAAAAACAGCAGCAAAAGAAGCAGCUUUAACAAAAAUGGACUGACAUUUGCACUUUUACAUUCUUCUUGGGUGAAGCUUGAGUGGCUGCGUAAAGACAUCACUGGAUGAUUUCAUUUCUGCACAGUACUCUCUGACUAUGUAAAAUUUCAAGGUCCCAGGAGUCAAAUAUUGGCCUGGAAAAUAUGGCUCUCUUAGUGAAAUGGUGCAUUUUAUUUCAUGAUUACCUUUGAAACUGAGAAAAAGGUACAAAUACAAAAGGUGUGUAGUGUAGGGGGACAUCUCAGCUCCAUGAUACCUUUAUCUUUACCUCUUUCUAAUGUAUCCUUCUAGAAUCUAGAUAAACUCUAUGUAUAUACAAACACUUAUGUAUACAUAUCUUCUCCCUUUUUUAUAUACAAAUGGCACAGUAUGCAUGCCAUUCUUAAACGUUUGUUUUUUUUUUUUACAUUUAAUAAUAUAUUUUGGAAGUUGCUUCAUGUCAGUCAAUACAGAUCUGCCUUAGACUGAGUUGAGACCAUCUGUUUUUGAAGAUAAUAAAUAGUGCUCUGAUGUUCUCAUCUCUUAGGAUUUUAAAAGUGGCACCGGAGGCAAGAAUUUGGUCAGACAUGCCAAUCUAGAUUAGGGGAAAUGGAACGCAGAGAAGUUGGACAUGCUCACCUCUGAUGGUCUGCAAGUCUUUGAUGCCCUUUUUCCUCCUCCUCCUUCCAAACCCCUCCAACAAUCCUGAACAUACCUCUGACUUCUGUUUAUCUUACACUCCCUGAUAAAUCUCCUUAGAAGUUGGUGGUCCACUUAAGCCAAGCCACAACCAUAACAUGGCCCCUAAGACACACCAUAGCAUUGUAAGGGUCCAUAAGAGAGCAUACCAUAAAAUUAGAUAAAACUGGA